rnacentral:rRNA from 1 species
GACGAACGCUGGCGGCAUGCCUAAUACAUGCAAGUCGAGCGAACAGAUGAAGUGCUUGCACUUCUGACGUUAGCGGCGAACGGGUGAGUAACACGUAAGGAAUCUACCUAUAAGCGGGGGAUAACAAUAGGAAACGGGUGCUAAUACCGCAUAAUAUCUUCUUCCGCAUGGAAGAAGAUUGAAAGACGGCUCUGCUGUCACUUCUCGAUGACCUUGCGGUGCAGUAGUUAGUUGGUGGGGUAACGGCCUAACAAGACGAUGAGGCAUAGCCGACCUGAGAGGGUGAUCGGCCACAGUGGGACUGAGACACGGCACAAACUCCUACGGAGGCAGCAGUAGGGAAUCUUCCGCAAUGGGCGAAAGCCUGACGGAGCAAUGCCGCGUGAGUGAAGAAGGCCUUCGGGUCGUAAAACUCUGUUAUAAGAGAAGAACAAAUUGUAGAGUAACUGCUACAGUCUUGACGGUAUCUUAUCAGAAAGCCACGGCUAACUACGUGCCAGCCGCCGCAGUAA